UUACUGAGGUUACCGGGGGCGAGUUUGCGGGAGUUAAGUGCUGGCACUCUCGAGUGCAUGUGCACGGCUCUUUCCUUCUCGUCUUCGUUCCUUCUAUCAACCACUGUGCACUAUAUUAGGAUUAGAGAGAAGCGCGGCAGUCUAAGGAUUAGCCUAGUAGUUGUGGGUCCGCCCCGCGGCGAAAGGUUAAUCUUGACGCGUGGUACCUCGAACUCCUUAAUUAUUACAAACCACUAUUUAUGUCUUGUCAGAAUGUUUAGUCCCUCGUUGGACGCUAAAUGAGAUACAACUUUCAACAACGGAUCUCUUGGCUCUCGCAUCGNWUGAAGARCGCRGCGAAAUGCGAUAAGUAANUGUGAAUUGCAGAAUNCAGUGAAUCAUCGAAUCUUUGAACGCACCUUGCGYCCUUUUUCGGAAGGGCACGCCUGUUUGAGUGUCAUGUWCAUCUCAAUCCAACAGCUUUUGUGGCUGAUUUGGAUUGGAUUUGGGAGUCUGCUGGCCCUUCUCGGGUCGGCUCUCCUUGAAUGCAUGAGUGAGCAUCUGGUUCGCGUUGCUGAUGUGAUAACCUUCAUCAUUGGUAACGCUUGCCUAAUGGGCUUGCUUCCGAACCGUCUUCUCAACGGAGACAAUACAUUGACAAAUUUGACCUCAAAUCAGGUGGGACUACCCGCUGAACUUAAGCAUAUCAAUAAGCGGAGGAAAAGAAACUAACAAGGAUUCCCUUAGUAACUGCGAGUGAACCGGGAAGAGCUCAAAUUUAAAAUCUGGCGGUUCUGCCGUCCGAGUUGUAAUCUGGAGAAGCGUUUUCCGCGUCGGACCGUGUACAAGUCUCUUGGAAUAGAGCGUCAUAGAGGGUGAGAAUCCCGUCCAUGACACGGACUCCCGAUGCUUUGUGAUACGCUCUCAAAGAGUCGAGUUGUUUGGGAAUGCAGCUCAAAAUGGGUGGUAAAUUCCAUCUAAAGCUAAAUAUUGGCGAGAGACCGAUAGCGAACAAGUACCGUGAGGGAAAGAUGAAAAGCACUUUGGAAAGAGAGUUAAACAGUACGUGAAAUUGUUGAAAGGGAAACGCUUGAAGUCAGUCGCGUCGUACGGAGCUCAGCCUUGCUUCUGCUUGGUGUAUUCUCCGUGUCGACGGGUCAACGUCGAUUUUGACCGGUGGAAAAGGGCCUAGGGAACGUAGCGUCGUUUCGGCGACGUGUUAUAGCCUUAGGUCGWAUGCAUCGGCUGGGNAUUGAAGGASYGCAGCACGCCCUUGYGGCCGGGGGUUCGCCCCACGYUCGUGCUUAGGAUGUUGGCAAAAUGGCUUUAAGCGACCC
rnacentral:rRNA from 1 species